UGGGGGAGUAACCUUGGGGAAACUGGGGCUAAUACCGCAUGACGCCCUGUGGGGCCAAAGGAUCUGUGCGUGAGCAUGGGACUGCCUGACGAGGAGCCUGCGUCCGAUUAGGUAGUUGGUUGGGUUAUGGCUGACCAAGCCUGCGAUCGGUAGCUGGUCUGAGAGGAUGAUCAGCCACACUGGGACUGAGACACGGCCCAG
rnacentral:rRNA from 1 species